UCUAUAGAGGUAUAUCCAGCUAGAUUUGGAGGGGACUGAACGCCUUUCUCUCUCUGGGUCAAUGAAUUCCCGAUGUCGGACGUUGUGUAAGUUUACCCAGAAAUAAAGUCCGCAAGAGUCAAUGGGAAUUUCCAAUGAGAGCAGCCAGGUUCGUCUUUCUCCCGGAUCACCCUCCAGAUCCUCCGGGUGGGAGAUCCAGUGAGGGGGGGCGAUACUCACCGCCUUCAGCUGCUCCAGCCGGUCCUUCAUUGUGGUCGGGUGCGGCUCCUCUCCCUCGGCCAAGCAGCGAACCCAGGAGACCUGUGCACGGGGAGGGCUCCUCCAGGAAGUGGAAUCCCAGCGCGAAGCCCAAAGCGAAGCUUCCUCCUCUUUCGCCUCCUUUGCUCACUCUCUAGGAGGGGCGUCCAAGUUGCACCAGGGCGGGAGAGAGAGCAUACAUGCCGGCAUCCCCAGCCCACCCCGCACAAUCUCAAUCUGGCUCUCGCUCCCCCAGCGAGCCUGAUCCUCCGGCGCUGAGCUGGCUGCAGCUGCUAAUCCUCGGUUGGAUUGUUUUAUAAGCAGUAACAAGCCGAACGGCAAGUCCCUGAAGUCACACCGUGACCAGGUGAGGACGGCUGAACAUCCGCGAGUGCGGUUUGGCUUCGUUGACUUUUAGCGGAAGGAAAACAAACAAACAAAAAAAACCUUGCAGGAACAAGCCAAAAGGUAGGAUCUCUCAUUGACAAACUUUCACAUAUUACUUCUUGUCCUGCCUCUGGUGCUUUGGAGAAUAAGUCAAUCCCCUCUUCUCUGUGACACGGCUGCAGCAAUGAAUGAGGACCCCAGUGUCCAUUCUCACCAGUGGAAAGGUUAUGGAAAACCCAUAAGCUGGGAUUCAGUGUUCAGGGUAUCAAACAGUAUGCAACAAAAAUUCUUGAUGACAUGCUACACUAAGCAUCUCACUUAAUUUGUAAGAGCACAGUUGCCACCAUCUUGCCAUCAACUCUUUAAUUGUCACAGCUCUUUGAUUAAAGUCCGCCAUUUGUUGGUUUCUAUUUCAAUCAAAUUGGCUUCCAUUUCCAGUUAUCAAAAUGUGAAGGCCAUACAUUCCAAAGCUUAACUAUGCUCUAUAUGUACAGUAUAUGAAAGAUUAUUUCUUUUUGUCUGUCUCAAAUCUGCCAUUAUUUAACUUGAAGAGGAGAAUUAGAAUAAGACUAAUUGUUCCACCCA